rnacentral:sRNA from 1 species
GUUUUUUUUCCAUCUCU